CAGUAGCCGCGGGAAUACGAAGGGGGCUAGCGUUGCUCGGAAUGACUGGGCGUAAAGGGCGCGUAGGCGGAUUGUUUAGUUAGGCGUGAAAUUCCUGGGCUUAACCUGGGGACUGCGCUUAAUACAGGCAGUCUAGAGUGAGGAAGAGGGUUGUGGAAUUCCCAGUGUAGAGGUGAAAUUCGUAGAUAUUGGGAAGAACACCGGUGGCGAAGGCGGCAACCUGGUCCUUGACUGACGCUGAGGCGCGAAAGCGUGGGGAGCAAACAGGAUUAGAGACCCCUGUAGUCCCUGUCUCUUAUAC
rnacentral:rRNA from 1 species